UACGUAGGGUGCAAGCGUUUAAUCGGAAUUACUGGGCGUAAAGCGUGCGCAGGCGGUUCGUUGUGUCGGUGGUGAAAUCCCCGGGCUUAACCUGGGAAUGGCCAUGGAAACUGGCGAACUGGAGUGCGGCAGAGGGGGGUGGAAUUCCGCGUGUAGCAGUGAAAUGCGUAGAGAUGCGGAGGAACACCGAUGGCGAAGGCAGCCCCCUGGGCUAGCACUGACGCCUCAGGCACGAAAGCGUGGGGAGCAAACAGG
rnacentral:rRNA from 1 species